rnacentral:rRNA from 1 species
UGGGGAAUAUUGCGCAAUGGCCGCAAGGCUGACGCAGCGACGCCGCGUGUGGGAUGAAGCCCUUCGGGGUGUAAACCACUGUUGCUCGGGAAGAACACACAGGGUUUCCCUGUGCUGACGGUACCGAGUGAGGAAGCACCGGCUAACUCCGUGCCAGCAGCCGCGGUAAUACGGAGGGUGCAAGCGUUGUCCGGAAUCACUGGGCGUAAAGGGCGCGUAGGUGGUUCAGCGCGCGCGUGGUGAAAGCCCGGGGCUUAACCCCGGGUCUGCCGUGCGGACGGCUGGACUAGGGCACUGUAGAGGCAGGUAGAAUUCCGGGUGUAGCGGUGGAAUGCGUAGAGAUCCGGAAGAAUACCGGUGGCGAAGGCGGCCUGCUGGGCAGUUGCCGACACUGAGGCGCGACAGCGUGGGGAGCAAACAGGAUUAGAUACCCCCGUAGUCC